rnacentral:miRNA from 1 species
GCUGCUGCUGCUGAUGCA